UCUUCGGGAAGAAUUCUGACGGUACCUAAGGAAUAAGCACCGGCUAACUCCGUGCCAGCCGCCGCGGUAAUACGGAGGGUGCAAGCGGUACUCGGAAUCACUGGGCGUAAAGGGCGCGUAGGCGGAUUAUCAAGUCUCUUGUGAAAUCUAAUGGCUUAACCAUGAAACUGCUUGGGAAACUGAUAGUCUAGAGUGAGGGAGAGGCAGAUGGAAUUGGUGGUGUAGGGGUAAA
rnacentral:rRNA from 1 species